ACGCGGGCUGGGGCAGUUAAGGGAAACCUUAUCGUCAUUUUCCCCUGGGAGGGAGGAUACUGGGGACAUAUGUCUUACCUUUUAAACUGCCCAGUACGAAGUUACGCCUCUGCCCUCACUUGGGACCUGGUUUGAGACAAGCUCUUCCGGAGCACUGCGCAUAGCUCACUUUCUUGAGCAACCCUGUGUCCCCGCACCCCGCUCCUCUUCUUUCGGGUUCUAGGCAGCCGUGGGCGCUGCGACCCUUCUCUCACUGUCAGAGGGGCGGGAGCUCUCGGCCUGCGCCGCCUCCGCUGCCUGCUUGGUCGCGGGCUUGCCGGGAAUGGUGACAGCCCGGGCCCCCUCUUGGCCAAAGAAGUCCUCGAAAGCGUUCGGCGCACGGGCUUUGUCCAGCUUUUUAAACCGUAACAAGGACCGGGGCCGGGCGCGGUGGCUCACGCCUGUAAUCCCAGCAUUUUGGGAAGUCGAGGCGGACGGAUUACUUGAGGUCAUGAGUUCGAGACCAGCCUGGCCAACACGAUGGAGUCUUGCUCCCAUGCUGGAGUGCAGUGGCGUGAUCUCGGCUGACUGUAACCUCCGCCUCCCGGGUUCAAGUGAUUCUCCUGCCUCAGCCUCCGGAGUAGCUGGGAUUACAGCAAAGAUAUCCAGACGCUGUAUGCAGGAAGAACUGAAUUUCAGAGGACACCGUUUGAUCUUCAACACCUGGCAGUUUACAAAACAGAGACGGGGUGUCGCCAUGUUGCCCAGGCUGGUCUCGAACUCUGGAGCUCAAGCGAUCUGCCUGCCUCGGCCUUUCAAAGUGCUGAGACUACAGCCUGAAGAGGAGAGGGGGAAUCCUGGUGAGAAGCAUUUGGAAUUCAAGCUCAGAGAAGAAGACACGGAGUCCCAGCUGAGAACUCAAACUGGUAGAAGGAAGAUUAUUUUUCCUUCUCUAUAGGUGCUUGGAGGUAACGAGGGGAAAGGAGUUGAAAGGAAGGUGACAUUUCAGGUGGGCACCUGGGAUGGAGGCAAGGAAUCACGAAGUGGCGUCUCCUCGGAAGGGGCAGCCUGAUGUCUUUAACCACUGAACUGUGGUUUCCAACUGGAUGCGCUUUGGGUUCAGGGCUAAGACACGCGUAGGCGGUGCAGACAGUUCAAUUCGUGGGCGGCUUUUUCUCUCCCCUGCGCGGUUUUGCAGAACUGAGGAUUCACGUUUGCCACGCAGUCUCUAAAUCCUCCUCCCAGCCCUCGCCGGAUUUCUGCAUCGGAAUUGGAUUGGAUCACACACAAAAGAAGAGCCCAGGAACUCGUUCACCACCUUGCACCUUGCCUGUUAGUUCACGGCAUAAUGGUAACAGAGUCUUCAUUAAUGGAAGCAACGUUACUACCGUGAGCCCGGAUAGCUCAGUCGGUAGAGCAUCAGACUUUUAAUCUGAGGGUCCAGGGUUCAAGUCCCUGUUCGGGCGGUAUCUUUUUUUUCCUCAUUAAAAGAGUAAGAACCAA
ensembl:lncRNA LINC02739 long intergenic non-protein coding RNA 2739